UCAGACUUCUGUCUGUCACUGCAUCUUUUUACCUUCUGGGUCCAUGAAGCUGCUUUUUCCUGCACAUCCAACCAGACCUCUGACCUUUUCACCUGAGAGAACCCAACAGGAUGAGAGUGUGAGAGAGGAGAACAACAUCUGAUUAGACCCAUCAGAACUAACAAGCAGCUGUUGAUCAGCCCAAACCUCAGAAACCUGCUGUGAGACCACAACCAGAGAGUCGGGGAAGGAUUGACCUCUAUGUUGGACUGACAGCAGCUGUAUCUGUACUGACUCAAACAAGAUUUCUACUCAGUCCAGUGGUGGAUUGAAGAAAACUUACAGCUUAGCAGAUGGAUCAGAGGAAAUAGUUUGAUCUGCAACGCAAACCAAACAAGACUGUUAUAAUUCAACUUUAUACCAAAGACACAGAACAAACUAUGUUCUUCAUCUUUCCCUUGUUCAUCAUUUUGAUAUCAGGACUCCUGGUUGAACUUUGUUAGAUGUCAAAUGUGCACUAUGUUCACUUUAUUGAAAUAAUGCUGAGAAGCAUUAGGUAUUAAGUAUUCAGGUUAGGAGCCUUCAGAGCUUCUGGUUCUCAUGUGUUAUGUUGACUGGCAUGAAACUGUAGUGCCACACAGGAAGUGAUGCAUCUGUUUAUAAUGACCACAACAAUCUUUUCAGCGUUCUGCAUGUGUUAGUGGAUCCACAGUGAUCUGCUCCAGGCAGCACAUGCUUGUUGAUCGUCAAACGUCAUGAAAACUGUAAAACUGAGUUCUGACCUUCUGUCCAGAAUUUACAUCUUUAACUUCUCAACAUAGAGCUUUGUUGUUUUAUUGUAAUGUGCAGUUGAAACUGAGAUUUACUGUUGCUGUUUUUAAUCCUGUCUGUUACAGUGAGCUCUUAUUAACUGUCUGUUAUUGAUUAUCAGUCUUUCACAUGUAUGUUUGAGAGAAAAGCUUUGAGUUGUUGACACUGGUAUUAAAGAUAAAGAUCAGCAGAGGGAGCUCUUCACUGGAAGUCAGCUCAUCUUGUUUAGAGAUCCUCACCUGGCUGCAGGUUACAGCUGUUUGCUCAUUUACACCUUUAGACUCAUUGAAGUGUCAUUAAAAACAAAUGUAUCUGUGAUAUUUGUUUAAAAUGUUUGUCUCAGUGUGAUCUGACUUGGAAUUUGGUCAAUUCAUUUGUUAUACAUUAAAGUGUGACUUGUGUGUAUUUAUAUAUUGGAAUAUAUUACAUAAAGAAAUGAAGAUAAACAAUUUUAGGAUUCCACAAUUGCUGGAAGAUUUUUCUGUUUUUUCUAAGAAAAUUAAAUGCAUUUCAUACUUUUUUAAAUCAACAUUGUAGCAUUUUUAGUUGCUCAAAGAUUGUGUGACUUAAGAAUUUGUGAAUUUGUGUAAUUGGUACUAUGAAUAUAAAGGCGUUUUAGUUUUUUAUCAGUUUCUGUUCAUCUUAUAUCCUUUUUAUAAUGUAUCUUUUUAUAAUUCUUUAUCACAUCUUUUGCAGUGUCACAUCACAAUAAAACAGAUGUUUUACCUUUUGUGUCAAUAAAGACUGAAUCAGUCUGGUUGAGA